UGCGCUCUUUUGUUACGCUACUCCUCUUCCUGUUGGCUGUUGCCCUCUUCUGAAUUCGAUCAUGGAAUUAGGGCUCAGGUUUCGUCUCAUUCUCCGAGAAUUCAGAGGAAGGCGUUGGCCUAUCUUCUACUUCAAAGCUAGGGUUCGCCAAUCUGAUUUUGAUUGGUCUGACAAUCAGGUCCAAAAUAUACGGUUCUUCCUGAAGACAAAAGGCAUAAACUGUGGAAAAGGUUGAAAACUUCAGCACUUGGUUGAUGAAUAGAUGCAAUAAUGGUUCUUCCCUCUCUUUGACGUGAAAUUCCGCUCAUCACGUAAUAAGAUGCAGCACUGUCGAGGCCGCUGGUUGGUUCAUCAAGGAAAAGAAGUUUUGGCCGCGUUAGAAUCUCCAUGCAAACACUAAGUCUUCUCUUUUCUCCUCCACUAAUUCCUUUAUUACCAAAUCCUCCAAUUCUUGUGUUCAUUGCAUCUUGCAACCCCAUCUCCUUAAUAGUCUGCUCUGCUAUUUGUUUUUUCUCUGAUUUUGUCAUGGAAACUGGGAGUUGGAGUUGUGCAGAGUAGUAAACUGCUUCUUGAACUGUUAGUGUUGCUAACAGAGUUUCAUCUUGAGUCACAUAUGCCUGAUUUUAUAGGAUAAAGAACAUUACCAUGCAUGCUAAUAAAAAAAAUAUAAUAAUGUUAUUGUGAAAAAAGGAAAACAAAAUGAGUAGUGCAUGCGGCAUUCAGCUGAAGAUUUUAAUUUCUUACAGAUGUUCCAUACGAAAGUUUCUGUUUGUGACCAUUGAUCAGAAUUUCUCCGCUCUGCCUCGUGCUGAAAUCCAGUCGCCCUGGGAGGUGCCCAUCAGCUAAGGAAUCGAGAAGUGUAGAUUUGCCACAGCCAGAAGGACCCAUAACGGCCAAGAGCUCACUAGGUCGAGCAUAGCCAGUGAGACCUUUAAGUAUGGAUUUGCUUCUACCUUUUUUAGUGCUAACAGUAACCCAUAAGUCAUUCCAAGUCAAGAAAACGCCUC